GAGGUCGUGACGGUGUUACGAAUCCACUGUUGUGCCCGUGUACCGUUUAUUUCCCGUGAAUUUAAUAAGUUUGGCAGUAAAUCUCAAGUCAAAGGGUUAUUUUGGACUUCGCGAAGAUGCAGUAUGUCAUUGUUUAACCAGACUUCUUUGCCACCCAGAUGACGCGCGAAGCAGUGAUGGGACUGUGGCUGGGAUGUCAGUUGCGUGGUAGCUGCUUGAGGGAGAGGUCGGUCUCCAUCUCUCUCCCUCUCUCUCUAUCAAGACUUGCGCGCUCGUCUGACUUCGGCUCCUAAGGAGAAACUUUUAUAAUUGUAAGACUAGUGCAGGAAUAUAUCUGGAAUCGUCUCGAUUUCUCAUGUGCUUCGUUAGAGAAGAAUUAAAUUAUGGCCACGAUAUUCAGAUGAGAAUUUGGAGGAAAAUGAAGGGAGUUGAAGACUUCUUAUGCAGAAGGUAACCGUCAGAGGAAGCUGUUGGUAUAAACAUCGUUAAUAAUGUCAGGAAAAUCAUCAACAGUUCGGCUAGCACUUUGGAUUCCAUAGGUGGAUGUUUGUUAAUGUCAGGAAAUUCAUCAACAAUUCUGCAAGCACUUUGGAUUCCAGAGGUGGAUGUUGCAAAGCACAAACAUUAAAGGUUAUGACGAUAAUAUUCAUCGAGACUGAGCUUUUGCAGGGGAGUGGUUUUCUGCUUUCUCCAUUGGAGACAUUGGAAGUGGAGAUUGUUUCUUGAGUGAAAUCUGGUGAUAGAACAGAAGAGGAAGCAUUAAUCGACACUUGAACAUUCAGAAAAAUAGCGAAAUACGAACAAGGUUUAUUGAUGCAAAGUUAGACGUGACUGAUAUACUCCCGGAACGUCGAAAAUUUUUUUAAUUUACGUCCUGUCUAGAAGACGGGAUUAAACGCUCUUAACAGAAGUAAUGAAUACAACUUGACUGCGAUUCCUUAUCGGACUUCACAGGAAGAGAAUCUACGGACUGACAGUCUUCAGAACACACCAUUAGAGGUUGGCAGCGGGAGGUAAUUACCCAGUUUACUCCAAUCUACGGCUAAUGAACAGUGCAAAUGAAAUGCAUGAAGGAAGGAAGAUGAUCACGAAGACUUUCUAGACGAUUUUAUAGAAUUUGUGGCCGCAUCCGGAUUAUUUCUCUGCCGUGCAUGAUUUCUCAUGACGAACAUACCUGGAAAAGUCAACGUAACAGAGACAGUUUAUCCAAAUUUCUAUCUCUAGAAAAUGGAAAAUAAAGCGCAUUAGUGAACACACUCAUUGAAGUUAAUACAGCGAUUUAUGACGUGAAAGCUUCUAGAGGUUAUUACCGUUUUGUGGUUCCUAGCUGGAGAAAUUUACAAGCGACACCGCAGGCGGACAGACAGAUUCACAGACAAUCCGGGUGGCGCCACAGCACUGAAAUGGCGAUUAACGUCGUGUUCCCAAUUCUUAUUCCGCUGGAAGAGAAUCUGC